AGACCCGAAACCCGGUGAUCUAGCCAUGGGCAGGUUGAAGGUUGGGUAACACUAACUGGAGGACCGAACCGACUAAUGUUGAAAAAUUAGCGGAUGACCUGUGGCUGGGGGUGAAAGGCCAAUCAAACCGGGAGAUAGCUGGUUCUCCCCGAAAGCUAUUUAGGUAGCGCCUCGUGAAUUCAUCUCCGGGGGUAGAGCACUGUUUCGGCUAGGGGGCCAUCCCGGCUUACCAACCCGAUGCAAACUGCGAAUACCGGAGAAUGUUAUCACGGGAGACACACGGCGGGUGCUAACGUCCGUCGUGAAGAGGGAAACAACCCAGACCGCCAGCUAAGGUCCCAAAGUCAUGGUUAAGUGGGAAACGAUGUGGGAAGGCCCAGACAGCCAGGAUGUUGGCUUAGAAGCAGCCAUCAUUUAAAGAAAGCGUAAUAGCUCACUGGUCGAGUCGGCCUGCGCGGAAGAUGUAACGGGGCUAAACCAUGCACCGAAGCUGCGGCAGCGAACGUAUCACCCAAGACAACUUUACGGAGUUGACGAUUGACGGAGCGAAGCGACGUCAAAGCGUUCAUUAAAGUCGAGUUGGCUUAGGGAUACGUUCGUUGGGUAGGGGAGCGUUCUGUAAGCCUGUGAAGGUGUGUCGUGAGGCAUGCUGGAGGUAUCAGAAGUGCGAAUGCUGACAUAAGUAACGAUAAAGCGGGUGAAAAGCCCGCUCGCCGGAAGACCAAGGGUUCCUGUCCAACGUUAAUCGGGGCAGGGUGAGUCGACCCCUAAGGCGAGGCCGAAAGGCGUAGUCGAUGGGAAACGGGUUAAUAUUCCCGUACUUGGUGUUA
rnacentral:rRNA from 1 species